rnacentral:rRNA from 1 species
AGAGUUUGAUCCUGGCUCAGGACGAACGCUGGCGGCGUGCCUAAUACAUGCAAGUAGAACGCUGAAGACUUUAGCUUGCUAAAGUUGGAAGAGUUGCGAACGGGUGAGUAACGCGUAGGUAACCUGCCUACUAGCGGGGGAUAACUAUUGGAAACGAUAGCUAAUACCGCAUAACAGCAUUUAACCCAUGUUAGAUGCUUGAAAGGAGCAAUUGCUUCACUAGUAGAUGGACCUGCGUUGUAUUAGCUAGUUGGUGAGGUAACGGCUCACCAAGGCGACGAUACAUAGCCGACCUGAGAGGGUGAUCGGCCACACUGGGACUGAGACACGGCCCAGACUCCUACGGGAGGCAGCAGUAGGGAAUCUUCGGCAAUGGGGGCAACCCUGACCGAGCAACGCCGCGUGAGUGAAGAAGGUUUUCGGAUCGUAAAGCUCUGUUGUAAGAGAAGAACGUGUGUGAGAGUGGAAAGUUCACACAGUGACGGUAACUUACCAGAAAGGGACGGCUAACUACGUGCCAGCAGCCGCGGUAAUACGUAGGUCCCGAGCGUUGUCCGGAUUUAUUGGGCGUAAAGCGAGCGCAGGCGGUUUAAUAAGUCUGAAGUUAAAGGCAGUGGCUUAACCAUUGUUCGCUUUGGAAACUGUUAGACUUGAGUGCAGAAGGGGAGAGUGGAAUUCCAUGUGUAGCGGUGAAAUGCGUAGAUAUAUGGAGGAACACCGGUGGCGAAAGCGGCUCUCUGGUCUGUAACUGACGCUGAGCUCGAAAGCGUGGGAGCAAACAGGAUUAGAUACCCUGUAGUCCACGCGGUAAACGAUGGAUGCUCGCUGUUUGCGUCUGACGUAGCGCAAGCGAAAGCGUAAGCAUCCCACUGGGAGUACGCGGCACGUGAACUCAAGGAAUUGACGGGGCCGCACAGCGAGAACAUGUGGUUUAAUCGAUGAUACGCGAGACUACCCGGGCUUGACUGCAGCGAACGAUCAAUGAUGAGCCCUCGGGCGCCUGUGGGAGUGCUGCAUGUUGUCGUCAGCUCUGCGUAGAGGUUCGCUUAAUGCUACCGAGGCAACUUGCCUCCAAUUGCAUCGGAUAUGCCGGGCACUCUGUGAGGACUGCCUCCGCAAGGAGUGAGGAAGGUGGGGAUGACGUCAAAUCAGCACGGCCCUUACGUCCGGGGCUACACACGUGUUACAAUGGCAUGUACAGAAAGCGGGCCGUAUGCAAAUACGGUCGAAUCCCUAAAACAUGUCUCAGUUCGGACUGGGGUCUGCAACCCGACCCCACGAAGCUGGAUUCGCUAGUAAUCGCGCAUCAGCCAUGGCGCGGUGAAUACGUUCCCGGGCCUUGCACACACCGCCCGUC